CAAGCUUAUGUUACUAUAGAAGAAUGAGAGAUCACCUGGGCAAAUAUAAGACAUUUUAGAUGAUCCAUAAUAGAAUUACUAACCUCCAGUCUGUCUGCCAGCUCCACAAAGACACAAGAGCAAACCCAGAAAUUCUGAGAACCUUCCUUGAAAUCAUUGAACAGCAAAUGAACAAGCUGUUGCCAACCUGGGGUAGAAGACAGCAGAAUUCCAGCAAGUUUCCUGAAUGGAUUCCCAUUCACUGCUCUUGGACUUGGGAGAGCUCUGGUAAGAGACAGGGAAACCUUUCCUUUCCCCUUCCCAGGGACUCAGUAAAUAUGCAGGCACCACAGCCAGGGUAUUCAUUGAUCAGAUGUACAUCCCUCCUCCACAACAGACAAAUUGAUCACUCUGGAUCACCAAGAAGAUCUACGUUGUUUACAUAAUAACAAUAGUGGGGUUUAUUACAGUGUAAUAUUGUAAUGACUUUUUGUCCAGGAAACUUGUGAACAUCCCAUUUUUAUCCACAAACUGUUAUUCUUUCCUGCAAGGUCCCCAAGGGAAGUAUACACACAAUAUAAUUAAAACACAACAAAGAAGCAUUCUACUGUGCGUUUACCAUACACUCUAAAGUGGAAUUUCAAGACACUAAGCGAAAGCAUACUUUAUUUUAAAUGUUAGAUAUGCUGGUAUGUUUUGUACAAUCAAAUACUUAUGAGACCUGUUCUCUCCAUUUGUCCUAGUGAGGCAGGAAAUUAAAGAAAAAUAAAAUUAAAAAGAGAAAUAAGUUUUCCUGUAUUAGGCUAACUUGUCCCAGGCAGCAACAGGCACAGCCCAGACCCAGGAAAAUUCUUGCUAAUAUUAUCUAAUGUGCUCUGGAGGCUC
rnacentral:lncRNA from 1 species